rnacentral:rRNA from 1 species
GAAACGAUGGCUAAUACCGGAUACGAGGCAUACACGCAUGUGUGGUGUCUGGAAAGAUUUAUCGGUCUGGGAUGGGCUCGCGGCCUAUCAGCUUGUUGGUGGGGUAGUGGCCUACCAAGGCGACGACGGGUAGCCGGCCUGAGAGGGCGACCGGCCACACUGGGACUGAGAUACGGCCCAGACUCCUACGGGAGGCAGCAGUGGGGAAUAUUGCACAAUGGGCGCAAGCCUGAUGCAGCGACGCCGCGUGAGGGAUGACGGCCUUCGGGUUGUAAACCUCUUUCAGCAGGGAAGAAGCGCAAGUGACGGUACCUGCAGAAGAAGCGCCGGCUAACUACGUGCCAGCAGCCGCGGUAAUACGUAGGGCGCAAGCGUUGUCCGGAAUUAUUGGGCGUAAAGAGCUCGUAGGCGGUUUGUCGCGUCUGCUGUGAAAACCUAAGGCUCAACCUUGGGCUUGCAGUGGGUACGGGCAGACUAGAGUGCGGUAGGGGUGACUGGAAUUCCUGGUGUAGCGGUGGAAUGCGCAGAUAUCAGGAGGAACACCGAUGGCGAAGGCAGGUCACUGGGCCGCAACUGACGCUGAGGAGCGAAAGCAUGGGGAGCGAACAGGAUUAGAUACCCUGGUAGUCCAUGCCGU